CAGGAAGCAGACAGAAAGAACUCAGCACCAAGCCACACCGGAAGAGCCGGUCGCCCUGCUGCUCCAGGGGAAUUGAAAACCGACAGGAAAAUACCACAAGGAGGAAAACUGCCUGCCCAGGGAGUGGAGAUGUGCCAGGGAAGGGUAACGUCCCAGGAGAGGAGCCCGCCAAACCAAACAGCGGCUCAGAAUCCUGACUCGGAGGUGCGAGAAAUCAAGGUGCCUCUCCGGUGAUUUCCACGUGGACUUCGCAUACCUUCUUCUGGCAGCAAUGUCAUUGUUCAGGGUUCACUCUCAGCCCAUACACAAAAGCCAGAUCUCGGAAACAGCAGCCACCACGCGGCAGGCGAUACUUAUAAAUGAAGAGCAGUAAGCUCAUGGCGCUAGUGACACGGAACCCUUAGAUCCAUCUAUACCAGAAAUGUCACCCACUCUGCAUCCCAUUGCCCAUCCCAAAUAGUCAAAAGAAUGCUGCCCCGUGACCCGCCUGACAUUUCAACUAACUGUGACACAAGUGAGCGCCAUAAAAGAGUUAGAAGAAUUAGACAGUGCUACAGACUUGCAUGGUGGACAAGCUGGUAUUCCUAAGAAGUCAGGACUAGAACACCACAGAAUUUUAGUAAACAAAAAUGUCACAAAUUCUACAGCGUCCCUGAAUGGUGGCCUGAUAAGUAAACAGAGAGGCCACCAAAGCAUGAUGCUCAGAAGUUGGCGCUGUCCACCUGAGCUCAGGUAAGAAUAAGCUCUCUGGGUUCUGAGUCAUCAAUUUCCAGCAGAUAUCUACCUGCUGCAGUUCAUAUGCCAGCCAUAGCCAUGCCUUUCCUAGUUCAAGGCCAACAAGUCCCUGUUACCGUUUCCCCUUAAAGUUGCAUCUAAGGAGAAAUACAUUUCUUCCAUCAAUCUCAGAGUGGCAUGAAAGUUCAUUCUCGUUGCAAACAAAUAAUGUGCUCCUCUGAUUUUAUACACCAGGUCAUAAUUUGGGCUAGUUUGAGCUUUUCUCCUCGUGGCAUAAGGAUAAAAUCAGAUAGGUCAGAUCCCAGCUAAUGCCAGGUUCGUACUGUGAGCCCUUCAUGCUGCGGUGGCUAUAAUCUAUUUUUAACUCUGCAUUUAUAAUAUAAUACUGCAUGUAUGUUUGUUUGAUCGAGCCAAACCCGUAACUGUUAUCAAAAAUGUACAGGCAAAGGCAGGACGGCCAGCAUCCUAUCACAAGGCCCUGAUCUCGAGACAGACUCUCCCUCACCAUACGUCAGCCAAGAGCUUCAGGGGAUCAUCGGUGGGAAUCCAGGAUGCUUUAAUGAUUGAGCUUAGAAAUGUGUCUUCAUUGGUGAAUCAGGAGGUUUCAGGGUGGGGGGGGAGGAUAGUGUAGUGUGUAACAUGCUGGCCCCCAAGACUUAAGUUUGAGCCCCAGAAUUCAUGGGAAAAAACAAGGUAUAGUGUCACAUGAUUGUCAUCCCAGACCUGGGUAGGCAGAAACAGGUGGACCUCUGGCCAGCAAGCCUAGCUUAUUUGGCAAGCUCCAGAGCAGUGAGAGACCCGUCUCAGAAGAUACAAUGAGGCUGGGCAGGGGGGGGUGUGCAUGCCUUUUUAAAAAGGCUUAUUUUUUUUAUUUUAUGUGCAUUGGGUGUUUUACCUGCAUAUAUGUCUGUGUGAGGGUGUCAGAUCUCCUGGCACUGGAGUGAAAAUCUGUUGUGAGCCACCAUGUGGGUGCUGGGAAUUGAACCCAGGUCCUCUAGAAGAACAGCCAGUGCUCUUAACCACUGUGCUAUCUCUCCAGGUGGCACAAGCUUUUAAUACAAGCACUAAGAAGGCAGAGGCUGGCAUAUUUCUGAGUUUGAGGCUGGCCUGGUCUACAGAGUGAGGUUCAGGACAGCCAGAGCUACAUAGAGAAACUCUGUCUCAAACAAAACAAAACAAAACAUAAACGGGUUGGAAAGAUGGCUCUGCCUUUAAGAGAACUAGCUUCUCUUCCAGGGGUCCUGAGUUCAAUUCCCAGCAGCCAAAUGGUGGCUCUCAACCAUUUAUACAGGGAUCUGAUGCCUCUUCUGGCAUGUAGGUGUACAUACAGAUAGAGUACUCAUCUACAUUAAACAAACAAAUCUUUAAAAACAACCCCCCCCCAAAAAAAAAAAAAAACCAACCAGCAGCUGAGGAACAACACCUAGGAUUAAUUUUUGCCUUAUACACAGGUUAAACACACACACACACACACACACACACACACAUUGACUGCUGUGUGUGGCUGCCCGGGCCCCUCCUCUGCCGGAUUGCCGGGAACCCAUCUGGAAAGCAAACACUGCCAAGCUUUCUGAAGGGCAUCGCAGAGGAAGCAGAUGUUCCAGUUGAGUCCUGGUUCAUGUCCUUUCCUGGUGGAGCCCCUCUUGGCUCACGUCUCUGCCUGGUGCUUGCUGGGGAACCAAGUUUCAACAGAGCAGCAACCUCUGGCUCUACACGGCAGCUGUGGGACGCCUUCGGCAGAAUCUGGAGGCUUUCAGUCCUGGCUGUCCUGGAAAUCACUUUGUAGACCACACUGUUCUUGCACUCACAGAGAUCUGCCUGCUUGGCCCCCUGAGUUUUAGGAUUACCAACAUGCACGACCGCCCUCUGGCAAUUGAUUUUGAGGUAAGGCAAAUUUGCAUUGUUUUUCAUUAUUAUAAAUGGCAAGAAGAUAAAAUCUGUCUGCAUAAUUCUUUGUGUAAAUAUAAGAUUGCAUCAGAAUAAGUUCUUACAAGUACAGUUACUUCACUAAACAGGGUGAACAUUUUAAGGCUUUUGCUAUUUGUUGCCAAACUUUGCUGGAAAGCUUGCGUCAAUGUAUCAUAUCCUCUCCCCCAAAGUUCACGACAAUGCUGUUUUGACUACCCUGUCAAAUAACAGGUUAUUCUUUAAACACACAUUAGUUAACUCGAUGGGCUGAGUGACACAUUGUUACCCUUGCUCCACUGCCACUCAAGUUACAUACCAGAAAUGAGACUGGCUGUCAUGCCAUUGAGAUUUUUCUGGGGCUGAAAACCAAAAUGAAAUUAAACUAGAGAACUACAUUCUUUAGUACUGCAGAUCUGUAUACACACACACACACACACACACACACACACAUACAAACACACACACAUAUAUAUCCUCAACCUAAAAUUGUAUUUGCCAGAAGGCAGUGUGAGGAGAUGGUAUCUUUGUGAAUGUGAUUAAACCAUGGGAUCUUUGCCCUACUUACUGGCCUUAGUGUCCCUUUGAAAUAUGCCCAGGCAAACUUACUCACCCUUCUACUAUGUGAGGACACAGAUAGAUGAUGUCAUCUGUGAACUAGUCAGCAGGUCCUCACAGAGUGAGAUUUUAUAAAAGAGGCAGCUGCAUGCUCAGCUUCCAAUGCGCCCAAAGCCAAGGUUCUUGGUGGUCACCUGACAGUCUCUAGAGUCACCUAGGAAACACAGGUUCUGGGUAUGCCUGUGAGGGAUUUUCUAGCUGAGAGUGAGGUGGGCAGACGCACCCUGACUGUGGGCAGCACUAUUCCUUGGAUUCCGGUCUUAGACUGAAUAAAAAGGAUAAAACCAGCAUUCAUCACUCCCAGCUUCCUGAUUGUUGAUGCCUCUGGAACUAUGGGAAAUAACUUUUUGUCGUUUAUGAGCCAAGACAGGAAGACUAAAAGCUUCCACUAAAAGCUCAGGCUGCAAUGUCUGUUUGUGCUGUUUGUGUGUCUUUGUUCUCUUCACACCCUGUCUUGCUUCACUCAUUUUGGAGUCUCCAAUUUCAUUUGCAGUAAACUGGGAACCACUCAAGCCGUAGUUCAUGACAGCUUUGCUUUUCAUCCGCUGUUGUGUUUUCUAUCACCUAGUCUGUCCUGGCUGGCUACAUCAGACCAAACUAGAACACAGCAUAUUAACCCAAGGCGAGCCAGUCCGUGAUUGACCUGGGACACGAAUUCUCUGUUGGCUUGAAAAAUGGCUUUCCUGACCUAAUUUUCAAAUCCUGGCUGAUAAGUACGCUUACAGAGCAGUAGGCUCAGAGCUUUCAGAUGAUAAAAAGCGUGUAAAGGCUGAUUAAAGAAUCGAUUCUUUGGCUUCUUCUGGUCAUGGCCCUUGACUCAGCACACAGAAUAUUGAUUCAGGAAUUGGAUAGACCUAUACACCCAUCGGUUUUGUGAAUCAGGUGUGCCUUAACUACUUUUCCUGUUGCUGUGGUAAAAUGCUCAGACAGAAGCGACUUUAAGGAAGAAAGCACAGGUUUCACAUGGUGGGAAGGACACGGAAGCAGAGCCUUGAAGAGACUGGUCAUGUGACAUCAUCAGUCAGGAAGCAGAGGCGGUGAAUGCAGGGACCCCGCUCAUUUUCUACUUCUUAUUUAGUCUAAGACCCCAACGCACAGAAAGGACCCACCCACGGUUACCAUGGUUCCUCCUGCCUCCAUUAGUCUAAUCUAGAACAUCUCUCACAGACAAGGGGAGAGGCUGUCUCCUGUAGGUGAUCCUAGAGCCUGUCAGGUUGACAAUAUUAACCAUCACGAACUGCAUCUUUGCAUUAGGUGUGUCAGGAAGGCAAUCAAUCAGCUGCCUGUACGGUAAAGGCUCUGGGAGAUCCCAGGCCUGUGAUUCUCAGACUUAGAUGAGUGGUCCAGUUGUCUGGAUCACCGCAGAUCACAGAUGUGGCCUACGGCCCAGUAUCACCAUUUCAGCUCCCGACAACUGUCAUGUCUGCUCAGCCUGGAGAAGAGGCGAGCUGAGAUGCUUUCAUGCUUGUUUUGAUUCCCUUCCUGUCGAAGGACGAGGUUCUUUUUAUGAAAAAUAAGUGGUGGUGCGAGGGAAUUUCUAGAAAGUGUGAGUCUCUCGAGACAGGAGAUGCAGUGCAGCAGGACACUUAGGGGACAGGACUGGGACUCGAGGGCCAGCUUUCAAGGUUGAUUCAAACUCCUUCAAGGGGGUCUUGCCAGCCUGAUUUUGCCACUGCGCAUUACUGAAGGGCUGGCUGCAGCAGCUGUGGCAACCACAGGACACUGUGAGUGACUGUCACCUGCAAGGAGGCCUCCCUAUUGGCAAAGAUAACAAACUGCAGCUUGGAGGUGUUGAGUUCCUGGGAUCUCCCUGUUAGCCUUCCGCCAGCCUGAGAUCAGGGUACCCACUUCCAGCAGGGUGCUCAUCCUUCCCGUCAGGUUCUGCCACCUGUUUUCCCAGAAGGCCCUGGUGCAGUUUGCCGCUUUCCUUCCCGACAAGAACCUGGCCAUCUGUGCCAGCUUCCUCAAGAGAAGAGGAAUUUGUUGUUUCUCCGGGGAGAGAGUGUGCUUUUGUCAUUCUCAGAAUCCACGUGGAACAAAAUGGGUUGUGAUAAUGCCUGCAUCAGCACUCCGGAAGCGGAGGCAGGAGGAUGAGGAGUUGGAAGCCAGCCUGGGCUACAUCUCAAAAGGGAAAAAGAAAGAAUGCGCAACAACCUUCUACCUCCUGGCUUCUCUCAAUCCACUCACCGCCUUUUGGGUCUAGACCUACAUGUUUUAAGAGAUAAGUAUCCGUUUGUGGUUGUUCAUUUGUUUCUGGCCAGCAGACAGACAACAGGGGGGUAUGGCUUGGCAGCAGCUCCUGAGGUUCAGGGUUAGAGGAGGAAUGUUAUCUAAGGAAACAAAAGACACCAAACGGAGAGGGACAGUCUUAACGGAAGUCUAAUGCAGAAGAGCAUCAGGUCCCUGACCCUGAGGAAAACACACAGCAGAACAAAGAGGCCAGGGGACAAGAAUAAGUGUAGAACAUGGAGCCUGAGCUAAAGGUCAGAGGUUGAGAGGGAAGGGCACCAAGUUGUGUUUCCUAUUGUUUUUCCCUAAUAAAUUUAAAAAUUGCUAUGGAAUUGGGGUGUGGUAUUUCAAGCCUCUAAUCCCAGCACUCAGGAUGCUGAGGCAAGAAGAAUUAUGAGGAGUGCAAGUCCAGCCUGGGCUAUGGUACAGAAUGAAUUCCAGGUCAGCCUGGGCUACAGAGGGAGACCCAGCCUCAAAAAAGAAAAGAAAAAAAAAUCUUAUAAUAAUAAAUGCUAUGUUUAUUUAACGGAUAUCAAGGAGCAGUAAGUAGUUUAUUUAUUUUAUUUUUGCCUUUUGGUUUUUUGAGAUGGUUUCCCUGUGUAGCCUUGGCUGUCCUGGACUCAAAAAUUUGUAGACCAGGCUGGCCUCAAACUCAUAGAGAUCCACCUGCCUCUGCCUCCCGGAGCUCUGGGAUAACAGGCGUGCACCACUGAACCUGGCUGAAGUAAGUGAUCAUUCACAUUGGAUAACUUAGCAUGGAAACUUCUAGGUGAUCCUAAGGAGGGAAAACCUGGGGCAAAGCAAACUGAUAACCAUGGAUUUUUGUGCCCCUUGAUUUUUAUGCACAGAACUAGACAGACUCACAGCCACCAUGGAGCCUCCUUUGAAUCUCAUGGGACUUUUCUUUCUUUCUUUUUUUCUUUUGCAUGUUUCCUUUCUAUCUGGAAAUAUCCAGUCUUACAGACAAGUGACAGGAGAAGCUUUUCUCUAUGUUAGCUUCCCCAGAUGCCCUCACUGCAUGUGUUUACCGAUUUGUCUCUCUCCCCUGGGCUGCUUGAAUGUACCUCGUAGACACAAAGUGAGAGCACACAUU